rnacentral:rRNA from 1 species
AAUACCGCAUAACAGAAGGGGACGCAUGUUUCUUUCUUGAAAACUCCGGUGGUACGGGAUGGACCCGCGUCUGAUUAGCUGGUUGGCGGGGUAACGGCCCACCAAGGCGACGAUCAGUAGCCGGCCUGAGAGGGCGGACGGCCACAUUGGGACUGAGACACGGCCCAAACUCCUACGGGAGGCAGCAGUGGGGAAUAUUGCACAAUGGGGGAAACCCUGAUGCAGCGACGCCGCGUGAGUGAAGAAGCGUUUCGGCGCGUAAAGCUCUGUCAGCGGGGAAGAAACACGGUUCGCGAGAGCCGCGGACGGUACCCGACCAAGAAGCCCCGGCUAACUACGUGCCAGCAGCCGCGGUAAUACGUAGGGGGCAAGCGUUAUCCGGAUUCACUGGGUGUAAAGGGAGCGUAGACGGCGAGACAAGUCUGGAGUGAAAGGCCGGGGCCCAACCCCGGGACUGCUCUGGAAACUGCCUGGCUGGAGUACAGGAGAGGUAAGUGGAAUUCCUAGUGUAGCGGUGAAAUGCGUAGAUAUUAGGAGGAACACCAGUGGCGAAGGCGGCUUACUGGACUGUAACUGACGUUGAGGCUCGAAAGCGUGGGGAGCAAACAGGAUUAGAUACCCUGGUAGUCCACGCCGUAAACGAUGAUCACUAGGUGUCGGGGGUUAGAAGGCCCCCGGUGCCGCAGC